rnacentral:rRNA from 1 species
AAGUACAUGCCGUAUUAAGGCGAAACCGCGAAUGGCUCAUUAAAUCAGUUAUGGUUCCUUGGAUCGUACCUUACUACUUGGAUAACUGUGGCAAUUCUAGAGCUAAUACAUGCAGCAGAGCUCCGACCUUACGGGACGAGCGCUUUUAUUAGACCAAAACCAAUCGGACCUCGGUCCGUUCUAUGUGGUGACUCUGAAUAACUUUGGGCUGAUCGCACGGACUUGUUCCGGCGACGUAUCUUUCAAGUGUCUGCCUUAUCAACUGUCGAUGGUAUGUUACGCGCCUACCAUGGUCGUAACGGGUAACGGGGAAUCAGGGUUCGAUUCCGGAGAGGGAGCCUGAGAAACGGCUACCACAUCCAAGGAAGGCAGCAGGCGCGCAAAUUACCCACUCCCGGAACGGGGAGGUAGUGACGAAAAAUAACAAUACGGGACUCUUUUGAGACCCCGUAAUUGGAAUGAGUACACUCUAAAUCCUUUAACGAGGAUCCAUUGGAAGGCAAGCCAGGUGCCAGCAGCUGCGGUAAUACCUGCUCCAAUAGCGUAUAUUAAAGUUGUUGCGGUUAAAAAGCUCGUAGUUGGAUCUCAGUUGCAGAGGGACGGUCCUCCUACCGGUGGUCACUGUCUUUUCUGAACGUCUCAGCCGGUUUCUCUUGAUGAUCUUCACCGGUUGUCUUGGGUGACCGGCAAGUUUACUUUGAAAAAAUUAGAGUGCUCAAAGCAUGCGUGACGCAUGAAUAAUGGUGCAUGGAAUAAUGGAAUAGGACCUCGGUUCUAUUUUGUUGGUUUACGGAAAACGAGGUAAUGAUUAAGAGGGACAGCCGGGGGCAUUCGUACUGCGACGCUAGAGGUGAAAUUCUUGGACCGUCGCAAGACGAACUACUGCGAAAGCAUUUGCCAAGAAUGUUUCCAUUAAUCAAGAACGAAAGUUAGAGGUUCGAAGGCGAUCAGAUACCGCCCUAGUUCUAACCAUAAACGAUGCCAGCCAGCGAUCCGGCUGUGUUCCUCAAAUGACACGCCGGGCAGCUUCCGGGAAACCAAAGCUUUUGGGUUCCGGGGGGAAGUAUGGUUGCAAAGCUGAAACUUAAAGGAAUUGACGGAAGGGCACACAAGAAAUGGAGCCUGCGGCUUAAUUUGACUCAACACGGGGUAGCCUACCUGGCCCGGACACAGGAAGGAUUGACAGAUUAAGAGCUCUUUCUUGAUUCUGUGGGUUGUGGUGC